AGUAACUUUCAAAGGCAUGCGAAUUUAGAACAUUUACGCUUUCUAUCAGACGGUGGGCGGAAAUGACGCAUUGUUUGCCAACAGUUAACGUCAGAAGAAGAGGAGGCGGGGAAACAGUAGGUGGCGUAACAUUUGAACGUGGUCUGUGCGCCUACCUUAAACUAAAACGAGGAAGAAUAAGAAAGAGAAGAAGAAAGAGAAGAAGAAGCGGGAAAGUUUUUGGAAAGGACACCACAACGCUUGCGACGUGAGACUUGGAGAGGUAAGUAUGCUAAUAUUUAUUUAGUUGGUCAACCAUGUAAUGUUGUGAAAUAAAAAUAUUUAACUGUUGUGACAACGGACUGGUCCUUUAUUAGGCUGCGGUAACGCUAAUGGCGUCUGCCCAACAAGUAAUGUAAGCAUACAUAAUGACCUUCACAAUUGGAUUCCACAGUGCAUAUUAAUUUCGGGGGCUUAACUUAAAAAUGUUUUAUAAUACUGUUGUAGGUAAAGUGACAAUCGACAAAGAAGGUCCGGGCUCCAUUUUAUUGGAUGGACAAAAAGGAAAUGACUACAAGAAAGAGGUUAAGAGUUCCCACAAAGAAAAUGAAGGACCUGCAUAAUUCUCCUCCGUCAGAUGAGCAAUCUGGUCACUUGCUCUUCCUCCUGUUUCACUGGUCUGAUGUCUCUGCUGAUUGCCUGAUUGUGCCCACCUGUGUCACCCUCCCUCAUGUGUAUAAAUGUCUGGUCUUCCUCUUGUCUUGUACCAGAGUAUAUCGUCUCGCUAUGUGCCUCCAGCCUUGUCCACAGCCUUGAACCAAGUUUUGCUAAGUAUUGCCUUGCCUUAUUUAUUGAUUUCUUUGUUUCCUCUGAGAAAGAGUGAUUUUGUUUGUUAAAGUUUUUGGUCAAGAGUUUUGUGUCUAAUUUCAGUGCUUUACCUUCUUUUUUUCCCCUCCUCUUGGAGCGCUUUAGUUUGUAGUUUUCUCAGCUUUUUAUAGCGCACUUUCUGUUAAAAGUUUCUUGUCUCCUCUGCGUGAGUGAUUUACCUUUUUUUAGCUAAUCAUUGAUUGUUUUUUUGUUAGAUUUGUGUCUAAUUUUGCUAUUGCCUUUUUCCUCCCUAUGGAGUGAUUUUCUGUUUAUUGCGUUUUGCCUAUGUCUUUUGUUAUCAUAGAUUCCAUAGUCGCUUUGCUUUAAUCACUCUGUUCAAAGAGAUUUCAAAGAAAACUGUUAAAUAAAGCCUGUGUCAAUUGUCCAGUAUUUACUGUAAACAUUUUAAACAACAGAGAGGGUGUAAAAUACAAUAAAUUCAAUAUGUUUAAUUGCCAUAGCUUUUUUAAAUGCAUCUUAUUGGCAUUUUUACCAAUAUUGUUCUGUAUUUUUCUAAAAUGUUUAAAUCGAUCAUCCAUUUCCAAACAUGCAUAAUUU